rnacentral:lncRNA from 1 species
GCUGCUUGCGCUGCUCGCGCUGUUCGCUUUUCGCGCCCUUUUACCUCAGAGCGGAGCGGACCGGCUCGCGCGCUCACGCUCUAUCAGCACCGCUCGGCAGCUCGCUCUCGUUUCCUCUCAGGAGCGUUUUAACCUAAACCCGCGGAGCAGCGAAGGCUGGCACUCGGCUGCCCGGCACCUCCUCCAGCGGCGGAUGGCAGCGGCAGUGCGUGAGAGGCUCCCCGGAGGGUCUGCGCUUCUCUCCGCCGCUCUCCCCGCUCGCCUCUCCGCCCGGACCGAACGGCGGCUCCUCUGAGCCUCAGUCACUCUCUCAGUUCUGUGGACGGUUUACGGUUUAACGGGCUUUUCUGCGUUUCUCACGUUGGGAGAAAAAGGUUGCCCAGACUGGGAUAAGCAGCGUUGGCCAGGCCUAUCUCCUCCUCUUCCUUCUCCUCAACUUCCUCCUGUCCUCUGCUCCCUGCCUCAGCCCUGCCUCGCUCGUGGUCAACGCGUUCCUCCGGCUGCCGCCCCAGCGCUUCCUCGGACACCAGGAACCUGCCGCCACGUCGAUCACGUCUUCACAGCUGGCUGCGGGGCGGCCCUCGUGGCCGAGAUGCCACUGUGUGCCCUGCCAGUCGGCGGUGGAUCCUGAGGGGCAGGAGGUGCCCACCGAGUGCAGGGGGCAGAACGCUAAGCACUGCGACUACGAAAUGAACCUGUGCUGGAACGAGAUCAAGCGCAAAUCCCACAACAUCAGGGUGCGACUGGAGGCCUUCUCAGACAACAGCGGCAAGCUGCAGCUCUCCCUGCAGGAAAUCAUCGAAUGGCUGACGGCCAAAGACGAGGAGCUGUCCGAGCAGCUGCCCAUAGGGGGCGACGUGGGGGCGGUGCAGCACCAGCGGGAGUUCCAUCAGGCCUUCAUGGAGGAUGUAAAGUCCAGGGGACCAUUCAUCUACUCGGUGUUGGAGUCUGCCCAGGCCUUCCUGGCCCAGCAUCCUUUCCAGGAGCCUGAGGAGACGCUGCCAGAUGGCAAAGAGGUGUCGCCGAGGCGGCGAAUGUUGAACGUGAGCCGCUCGGUGUGGAAGCAGGCCAACGUGGCCAGCGAUCUGUGGGAGAAGCUGACGGCACGCUGUGUGGACCGGCACCGGCACAUGGAGCGUACACUGGAGAGGCUGCUGCAGGUCCAGGCAGCGAUGGAGGAGCUGGCUGGAGCUCUGGAGCAGGCUGAAGGAGUGAGGGAUGCCUGGGAACCUGUGGGAGAUCUCUUCAUCGACUCACUGCAGGACCACAUAGAUGCCACCAAGCUGUUUAAGGAGGAGUUGUCUCAAGUCAAGGAGGGCAUGAAGCACAUCAAUGACCUCGCCCACCAGCUAGCCAUCUCCGACGUGCACUUGUCUAUGGAGAACGCCCGCGCCCUGGAGCAUCUCAACAGCAGAUGGAAGCUGCUGCAGGGUUCCAUUGAAGAGCGCCUGAAGCAGCUGCAGGAUGCCCACAGAGAUUUUGGCCCCGGAUCACAGCACUUUCUCUCCAGUAAGAGAGCUAUCACGCUCGGGCUUGCACCGGGCCGCCCGCUCCAUCAGGCCCAGACCACCUGCUGGGAUCAUCCAAAGAUGACAGAAUUGUACCAGGCUCUGGCGGACCUGAACAAUAUCAAGUUCUCUGCGUACCGGACGGCGAUGAAGCUGCGGCGAGUGCAGAAAGCUCUGAGAUUGGACCUGCUGAAGCUGACCAGUGUGACGGACGUGUUCCGGGAGCAGGAGCUGCAGCACGGCGAGUACGUGAUGGACGUGGUGGAGGUGAUCCAUGCCCUGACCGCUCUGUAUGAAAGACUGGAGGAGGAGAGAUCUGUACUCAUCAACAUCCCUCUCUGUGUGGACAUGUGCCUCAACUGGCUGCUCAACGUCUAUGACAGCGGCCGGAACGGUAAGAUGCGGGUGCUCUCCUUCAAGACGGGGGUGGUGAGCCUAUGCAAUGCAGAUGUGCAGGAGAAAUACAGAUGUGAACAGGUGUGUGGUCCAAACGGACUGACGGAUCAGAAGCACCUCAGUCUGCUGCUCCAUGAAGUUAUUCAGAUCCCUCGCCAGCUGGGUGAGGUAGCAGCCUUCGGGGGGAGCAACGUGGAGCCCAGCGUCCGGAGCUGCUUCCGCAUGGCCCCGGGGAAACCAGCUAUCGAGGUUUCUCACUUUCUGGAGUGGAUGAGUUUGGAGCCGCAGUCGGUGGUGUGGUUGCCUGUCCUGCACCGCGUGACGGCGGCCGAAUCUGCCAAGCACCAGGCGCGCUGCUACAUCUGUAAACAAUGCCCCAUCAAGGGCUUCAGGUACCGAAGUCUGAAACAGUUUAACGUAGACAUCUGCCAGAUGUGUUUCCUGACCGGACGAACAACCAAAGGCAAAAGGCUACACUACCCCAUAAUGGAGUACUACACCCCGAGCUAUAUAUUUACAAAUGGAGAAAGCAUGAAACAGCUGGCAGAAAUGGAAAGCCAGAGUUGCUCCUUCUUCACUGACAGCCUCUCUCCUGAUGAAAGUCUGGAUGAAGAUCAGUACCUCCUGCGUCACUCCAGCCCCGCCCUGGAACAGGACUCUCCGCCCGGGCCACACCUCCUCGCCCACCUCGACUGCCACAACAAGGAGGAGCUGCAGCGAACGCUGGCACGGCUGGAGAACGAGAACAGGAUGCUGCAGGGCGAGUACCGGCGGCUGAAGUGGAAGCACGAGGAGGCGGCGGCAGCUCCGCAGCUGGUGGAGGGCGGCGCGGGAUCGCCGGCGGGUCAGCAGGACGAGGAGCUCCUGGCCGAAGCUCGAGUCCUGCGGCAGCACAAGACCCGCCUGGAGACCCGCAUGCAGAUCCUGGAGGACCACAACAAGCAGCUGGAGUCGCAGCUCUGCCGGCUCCGGGAGCUGCUGCUGCAGGUGGGUGCUUAUCGCUUUCGUUUGCGAUAUUUAAUCAAUCAAUCAAUAAAUCAACCUUUAUUUCCACUCGAUAAAUACAUUGAGGAUUUAAUUAAGAAGAAAUUAAAUAAUUCAAAAUAUAAUGAGACAGGCUACAAUGUAAAACAAUAA